UACAGAGGUCUCGAGCGUUAGGCGGAAUCACUGGGCUUAAAGCGUGUGUAGGCGGGUCGUUAAGUGCCUUGUGAAAUCCCAUGGCUCAACCAUGGAACUGCUGGGCAUACUGGCGAUCUUGUGCCACCUAGGGGCGAGCGGAACAGAUGGUGGAGCGGUGAAAUGCGUAGAUAUCAUCUGGAACGCCAAGUGGUGAAAACAGCUCGCUGGGGGUGUGGCAGACGCGUGAGACACGAAAGCCAGGGGAGCGAACGGG
rnacentral:rRNA from 1 species